rnacentral:tRNA from 1 species
GGGGCUAUAGCUCAGUGGUAGAGCACAUGCUUAGCAUGCAUGAGGUCCUGGGUUCAAUACCCAGUACCUCCA